rnacentral:rRNA from 1 species
GACGAACGCUGGCGGCGUGCUUAACACAUGCAAGUCGAACGGAAAGGCCCUGCUUGCAGGGUACUCGAGUGGCGAACGGGUGAGUAACACGUGGGUGAUCUGCCCUGCACUUCGGGAUAAGCUUGGGAAACUGGGUCUAAUACCGGAUAGGAACCAUCUUUAGUGUGGUGGUUGGAAAGUUUUUUCGGUGUAGGAUGAGCUCGCGGCCUAUCAGCUUGUUGGUGGGGUAAUGGCGUACCAAGGCGGCGACGGGUAGCCGGCCUGAGAGGGUGUACGGCCACACUGGGACUGAGAGACGGGCCAGAGUCCGGCGUGAGGCAGCAGUGGGGAAUAUUGCACAAUGGGCGCAAGCCUGAUGGAGCGACGCCGCGUGGGGGAUGAAGGCCUUCGGGUUGUAAACUCCUAUGGCUAGGGACGAAGCUUUGUUGUGACGGUACCUAGAUAAGAAGCACCGGCUAACUACGUG